UAUUGAUCCGUUUCUCAUCAGGUAUUGAUCCGUUUCUCAUCGGGUAUUGAUCCGUUUCUCAUCGGGUAUUGAUCCGUUUCUCAUCGGGUAUUGAUCCGUUUCUCAUCGGGUAUUGAUCCGUUUCUCAUCAGGUAUUGAUCCGUUUCUCAUCAGGUAUUGAUCCGUUUCUAAUCAGGUAUUGAUCCGUUUCUCAUCGGGUAUUGAUCCGUUUCUCAUCAGGUAUUGAUCCGUUUCUCAUCGGGUAUUGAUCCGUUUCUCAUCGGGUAUUGAUCCGUUUCUCAUCAGGUAUUGAUCCGUUUCUCAUCGGGUAUUGAUCCGUUUCUCAUCGGGUAUUGAUCCGUUUCUAAUCGGGUAUUGAUCCG